AUGAUAGCCCCCUGGGGCACCGGCCUAGAACAGAGCAACAAAUAUUUACUAAUUCCAUUAACAGAAGAGAGUUGGAAUUUUUUUUUCCCAAGCGAAUAUCCGAGGCCCCAAGUUCAUGUAGUGACCCAAAGUUACACUUUGGUUCACCAAGACGAAGACGCGUCCUUCCUCUCUCUAUGGAUCUUUCAGGUGGCUAUACAGAGUCAGCCCUUGUGCUGCUCAUUUACAAAUAGCUGCUUGGUGUCUCCCCUCAUCUCCACUCCUCUGGAUUCCAGAACUUCCCACACAGGAGCCCAACCCUGGACAGUGACGGUGACCCAUGGAGAAUGCAUCAUGCCUGUCAGGGUCCUGUUGGUUCAGCGGCUGGGGAGGCAGCACCCUGCUGGGAGCGGUCACUUCCCACGAAGAUGGAUGGCUUUCUCUGUCCCGGCGACACUCUAACUGCCAGAGAUCCACCCGCGCUCACUGAAGACCUCUAUGUAUGAAGGAAGAGGAAGAGAGAGGGAAGGAAUAAGGAAAGAGGAUAUAGGACUGGAGAGAAGGAAAAAAACAAAAGGAAAAGGCAGAAGAAAGCUGAGUCCAUGUUUCAUGGACAGACAAGGUUUCGUCUGGAGUCAUCUUUUCUUAGCUAUGGGAUCCUAAACACAUUACUUAAUUCUUCCAAACCUCAGUUCCUCUCAUCUAUGAAAAAUGAAGACAAAGUAUCUAUUUUAGAGAAUUUUAAAGUCGUAAAUGUAUGAGAUAGAUGAUACCAAGUGUGAUACUCAAUACAGAGCAGGUGCUCAGCAAUUUUUCCACCUUCUUUAGAAUCAUUUAAAAAAAAUUAGCACUGCUUUUUUAAAACAGAUGAUCACUCAAGGACAGUCUCUUUGUACAGGACCAGCUGCAUCAUUUGUAGGACCUGGUGCCAAAUGAAAAUGUGGGUCCCUUGUUCUAGAAAACUAGGUUCAGAUAUUGCACAUGUUAAAUGCAGAUGCAGGACACGAAAUGGUGGAGGAGAUGCCCAUGACACAUCUCCUCUGCUCAUUGUCCCGUCAGACUUCACAUGCAACAAAAAGAUACAAUUAUUAAGUAUUUUAAGACAGUGACAGGACAGCAUCAGACCAAAGGAGAAGCCCCUCGGUGUGCAGGCUCUGUGUGGCUGCGCAGGUUACAGGCUAUGAAGCUGGCCCUGUCUCCAUAACACAAUCGAGGUGCAAACCUCCUGAACAGGCUGGCCUGGGGGAGUUUUUCCCUGAUGUCCUAGUGCUUUCUUGCUGCCUUGGAAACCAACCUUUGAUUUCUGCAAUCCAGGAGAUGAUGCCAUCUUUGAUCUCCAAUCCCCUGCAGGCACCUGUAGUCAUUCUACCCUCACGAGCUCUCUGGGAAGUGGUCACAAUUAUUAUCCCCAACCCACAGAGGGAGAAAAUGAGGCAGAAAGCAGUGGCAGGACUUGCCCCAAAUCACAUGGUUAUUGGGCACUUGAGUUGAGAUUCGAUCCUAGAUCUCUUUGGUACCAACCUCUGGGUAACUGCCCCUAUUUCAAUGGACCACAGAUGUUCCCAAACCCACACACACCUGCACUCAUGUGGACAUGUCCAGUCCCCACAUCUCCACCAGGCCUCCUCUAAUCUAGCUCUGAACUUUUCAAAGACAAUAAGUCUGAAGAGUGAUACAUUCAGUCAACUCCAAAAAUAAAGCAGAUGCCGGUGGAUACAUCUAUGAAUGACACAACAUAUUGGCUGGUUUCACUGUUAAUUAAUGCAGAGAGGAAUCAUUAAAUCAGAUCAAAUUCAUUUAAAAACAGUUCAGCUCUGCCCUGCUCGCCUCUCCUCCCCAUUGUGAGGGCCGUGUGGAUGGCUGGGGGGAGGGAGGGAAAAGGGAACAGAUACAGCGAUUUAAUUUCUCAAGUAACACUGUUCAAAUAAAAAUACAUUUGUUCGAAUGAGAUUGCCCUGAAACAGCGUUUGCAUUGAUGGCUCUGAGAGUAAUUCUAUUAAGCCGGAGCAUAUUUUUCA
ensembl:lncRNA